CGGGCGUCCCGGGCGUCCCGGCGGCGGCGUCGGGGCGGAGGGUGGAGGGCGGAAGGCCGGGGCGCGGGCCGUGAACGCACCGCCGGAAGCAGCGGGGCCGCGACUGAGGAUUCAGAGAGGGUCCUACUAGGUCUUCCUGUGACUACGAGUCAAACUCAACAUGAGCCAGAGGGUGAUGCGCAGAAUCAGAAUCAGCAACUGGGCAAGGAUCAGGGUGUGUGCUCCUUGGUUGCUCAAACCUUUUGAAGGUGACAGAAGAGAAGAGUUCAGUGUGAUGUAGGGAUGAGGGGCUUACAGAGCAGAAAGAGUUCCUGAGCUGAGCUGAUCCCCCUGAAGCUUCGUCCUCCUGACAGCUGAGUGAUUCAUCUGGCAGGACUCUAAAGCUCUAUCCUUCACCUUCUCUAUCAGCUGAUGGAUGACCUCACUUCAUUGAGAAAAUGAAGUAAACAGAAGUAAACAGUCUUCCUUCACAAAAUUCACCAAGAGUUGCUAUCCUGGGAAAUCUGUUAUUCUCAAAACCAAGAUGGGUACUGAAUUAAUAUUCUAGACAAAAAUAUAAAAACCAACAAUCUGAAGACACUAGAGACUGACCAAAAGCAUGGAGAAACUAAAGGGUAGUCAACAUGUGGAAAAAAGAAAACAGCACUGGGUUCUCUACCCAAGAGGGUGGAAAACAUGUUCACACAAAACUUAUACACAGGCCCGGCCCGGUGGCUCAGGCGGUGAGCUCCGUGCUCCUAACUCCGAAGGCUGCCGGUUCAAUUCCCACAUGGGCCAGUGGGCU